rnacentral:misc_RNA from 1 species
UCGUAACAAGGUUUCCGUAGGUGAACCUGCGGAAGGAUCAUUACCGAGUGAGGGUCCCUCGGGGCCCAACCUCCCAUCCGUGUUGUCCUGACACCUGUUGCUUCGGCGGGCCCGCCGUGGUUCACGCCCCGGCCGCCGGGGGGUUCACGCCCCCGGGCCCGCGCCCGCCGAAGACCCCUGGAACGCUGCCUGGAAGGUUGCCGUCUGAGUAUACAAUCAAUCAAUUAAAACUUUCAACAACGGAUCUCUUGGUUCCGGCAUCGAUGAAGAACGCAGCGAAAUGCGAUAAGUAAUGUGAAUUGCAGAAUUCCGUGAAUCAUCGAAUCUUUGAACGCACAUUGCGCCCCCUGGCAUUCCGGGGGGCAUGCCUGUCCGAGCGUCAUUGCUAACCCUCCAGCCCGGCUGGUGUGUUGGGCCGCCGUCCCCCCUCCCCGGGGGACGGGCCCGAAAGGCAGCGGCGGCGUCGCGUCCGGUCCUCGAGCGUAUGGGGCUCUGUCACACGCUUCAGUAGAACCGGCCGGCUUGCUGGCCAUCACCUAUAUUUUUCUCUUAGGUUGACCUCGGAUCAGGUAGGGAUACCCGCUGAACCUAAGCAUAUCA